rnacentral:rRNA from 4 species
AAAACUUUCAACAACGGAUCUCUUGGUUCUGGCAUCGAUGAAGAACGCAGCGAAAUGCGAUAAGUAAUGUGAAUUGCAGAAUUCCGUGAAUCAUCGAAUCUUUGAACGCACAUUGCGCCCGCUAGUAUUCUGGCGGGCAUGCCUGUUCGAGCGUCAUUU